GACGAACGCUGGCGGCGUGCCUAACACAUGCAAGUCGAGCGGGGACAUAUUCGGAAGGUCUUCGGAUUGGAAGGAUAUGUUCUAGCGGCGGACGGGUGAGUAACGCGUGAACAAUCUGUCCCAGACAGGGGGAUAACAGAUGGAAACAUCUGCUAAUACCGCAUAAGCCCACGACCCGGCAUCGGGUUGAGGGAAAAGGAGCAAUCCGCUUUGAGAUGGCCUCGCGUCCGAUUAGCUGGUUGGUGAGGUAACGGCCCACCAAGGCGACGAUCGGUAGCCGGACUGAGAGGUUGAACGGCCACAUUGGGACUGAGACACGGCCCAG
rnacentral:rRNA from 1 species